UACGUAGGGCGCAAGCGUUGUCCUGAAUUAUUGGGCGUAAAGAGCUCGUAGGCGGCUUGUCACGUCGGGUGUGAAAGCCCGGGGCUUAACCCCGGGUCUGCAUUCGAUACGGGCAGGCUAGAGUGUGGUAGGGGAGAUCGGAAUUCCUGGUGUAGCGGUGAAAUGCGCAGAUAUCAGGAGGAACACCGGUGGCGAAGGCGGGUCUCUGGGCCGAUAUUGACGCUGAGGAGCGAAAGCGUGGGGAGCAAACAGG
rnacentral:rRNA from 1 species